GACGAACGCUGGCGGCGUGCCUAAUACAUGCAAGUAGAACGCACAGUUUAUACCGUAGCUUGCUACACCAUAAACUGUGAGUUGCGAACGGGUGAGUAACGCGUAGGUAACCUGCCUGGUAGCGGGGGAUAACUAUUGGAAACGAUAGCUAAUACCGCAUAAUAUUGAUUAUUGCAUGAUAAUUGAUUGAAAGAUGCUAUUGCAUCACUACCAGAUGGACCUGCGUUGUAUUAGCUAGUAGGUGAGGUAACGGCUCACCUAGGCGACGAUACAUAGCCGACCUGAGAGGGUGAUCGGCCACACUGGGACUGAGACACGGCCCAGACUCCUACGGGAGGCAGCAGUAGGGAAUCUUCGGCAAUGGACGAAAGUCUGACCGAGCAACGCCGCGUGAGUGAAGAAGGUUUUCGGAUCGUAAAGCUCUGUUGUAAGAGAAGAACGGGUGUGAGAGUGGAAAGUGCACACUGUGACGGUAUCUACCAGAAAGGGACGGCUAACUACGUG
rnacentral:rRNA from 1 species